GAUAGCUUUGAGAAAUUCCCUAUAAAGGAUGACCGCAUCAGUCACUUGUUGCCUGCAUGUUACCAGGAUAUGAUUGUUAGAGUUUAUACCAGGAAAUCUGAACUGGUAGAAGCUGUUUCUGAAGCAUUCGAGAAUUUUCAGAUGAAGACUUAUGGGAAGAAAACAAGUACAUGCAACUCCUGAAAAGAAGAAACGCCUGAAGUACUAGGAUCAAUGAAAAUGGCUUUUGUUGGCUUCUAGCCAGAUGUACAUACUCGGUAUACACAUAAACAGNCAGUAGACUGUCACUUUCCUCUGAUAUGAGAAGGUAUAGAUGUAAUGUCCAUGAAUAUGGUUAAACUGAUAUCACUCUGGUUGAUCUUGUUAGUCUAGCUGCAUGAAGUCUGAUCCUGCAAGUAUAGGUUCUAUAAUGGCAUCGGUAGAAUGAUGUUAGUCACAUGUAAAGAAUAAAGAUUGGUACCAAAUAAAGGGUAGUCCUUUCGCCAAUGGUGCA